CUGCUUCUCUGUUACUUGAGGGGGAGGCAGUUAAGACUUGCAGUGAUGUUUAGAAAAUUUACUACAUGAACAUCACUUUAAGUCUGUGCUACUUCUUUCCUUAUCUUGACUGCGGGAAGG
rnacentral:pre_miRNA from 11 species